CUAAUACAUGCAAGUCGAGCGGACCGACGGGAGCUUGCUCCCUUAGGUCAGCGGCGGACGGGUGAGUAACACGUGGGUAACCUGCCUGUAAGACUGGGAUAACUCCGGGAAACCGGGGCUAAUACCGGAUGCUUGAUUGAACCGCAUGGUUCAAUCAUAAAAGGUGGCUUUUAGCUACCACUUACAGAUGGACCCGCGGCGCAUUAGCUAGUUGGUGAGGUAACGGCUCACCAAGGCGACGAUGCGUAGCCGACCUGAGAGGGUGAUCGGCCACACUGGGACUGAGACACGGCCCAGACUCCUACGGGAGGCAGCAGUAGGGAAUCUUCCGCAAUGGACGAAAGUCUGACGGAGCAACGCCGCGUGAGUGAUGAAGGUUUUCGGAUCGUAAAACUCUGUUGUUAGGGAAGAACAAGUACCGUUCGAAUAGGGCGGCACCUUGACGGUACCUAACCAGAAAGCCACGGCUAACUACGUGCCAGCAGCCGCGGUAAUACGUAGGUGGCAAGCGUUGUCCGGAAUUAUUGGGCGUAAAGCGCGCGCAGGCGGUUUCUUAAGUCUGAUGUGAAAGCCCCCGGCUCAACCGGGGAGGGUCAUUGGAAACUGGGGAACUUGAGUGCAGAAGAGGAGAGUGGAAUUCCACGUGUAGCGGUGAAAUGCGUAGAGAUGUGGAGGAACACCAGUGGCGAAGGCGACUCUCUGGUCUGUAACUGACGCUG
rnacentral:rRNA from 1 species